GUCUAAGGCCAUGCCACCCUGAAAAAGCCCAAUCCCAUCUGAUCUCGGAAGCUAAGCAGGGUCAGGCUUGGUUAGUGCUUGAAUGGGAGACCGCCGAGGAAAACCAGGUGCUGUAGUUG
rnacentral:rRNA from 1 species